rnacentral:rRNA from 1 species
CAAAAGGGGCGAGUAAUACGAACCUGUAAGAUUCCUCCCCUGUUGGAUGGCGAUGGGAGCGGGUUCUCCCGGAGGAAAAUUUUUGUUUGCUCCGGGGGAAAUGGUGGUGGCGCUGAGACUUCUAGAAGAUGACGGAGGGGGGCCACCACGAGGGGGGCCCGCGGCGGUUAUUUUCUCCUCCGGGGGAAAAACCUGGGGGCCAGAAACCGAGGAGAUUGAAUUGUGAGCUCUUUCUUGAUUCGGUGGUUGGUGGGGGGUGGCCGUUCUUACUUGGUGGAGGGAUUUGUCUGGUUGAUUCCUAUAACGAGCAAGAAUCUAGCCUACUAAAUAGUAACUGGAUAGUUGAGUCCAGUCCACUUCUUAGAGGGACGAGAGGUGUUCUGCCUCACCAAAUUAAACUAUAACAGGUCUGUGAUGCCCUUACAUGUCCAAGGCUCGGGGCGCCCUACCCUGAAAGAAUCAGGAUGCUGUAACUUUGCCGAAAGGCAUUGGUAACCCCUUGAAACUCCUCCAUUAUUCGUAUCGAGAGUUGCAAUUAUUUCCCUUGAAUUCUGAAUUCCGAGUAAAUGCGAGUCAUCGGCUCACCUUGAUUUCGUCGUUGCUCAUUUUCCACGCCUUUCGUCACUCCGCCCGUUGCUACUAUUGAAUGAACGCGUUUACAGCUGUUUUCGGACUGCUCGGGGCGAAUAUUCUUUGGAGUGAACAGUCUUUAUUUGAGUAGCAUGAAUCAUGCUAUGGCUUAACACGUGUCCAUGUCGAACUGCGUAUGAGUAAGUGCAACUGCCGAACGGCUAAUGGAUAAUCUAUCUGAUCAAUCAUAGUCACUCCUGUGAUGGAUGAUAGAUCGACUUGCAUGUU